UACGUAGGGUGCGAGCGUUGUCCGGAAUUAUUGGGCGUAAAGAGCUUGUAGGCGGUUUGUCGCGUCUGCCGUGAAAAUUCGAGGCUCAACCUCGAACUUGCGGUGGGUACGGGCAGACUAGAGUGUGGUAGGGGAGACUGGAAUUCCUGGUGUAGCGGUGAAAUGCGCAGAGAUCGGGAGGAACACCCGUAGCGAAGGCGGCACUCUGGGCCGGUACUGACGCUGAGGAGCGAAAGCGUGGGGAGCAAACAGG
rnacentral:rRNA from 1 species